UGUUCGUGCCCUCUGGUCCGGCCCCCAGCAGAGACGAGAGGAUCGGAUCCCCAAGAAGAAACGAAUCAACCUUGGCCGGCCGGCGCGCGGCUCGGUUGUGGCUUCCAGCUAUCGCCGGUCGGCCGCCGGUCCCGAUGCUACGAGCUAGAUCCAAGCCAAGAGACGACGGCCGGCUGGGGAGUCCUGACUCCGACAGACUGCACUGAUAGAUUGCAAAUAUGGUGAAGAAAAAGGGAAGCCGUAGCUCUGAUGAUGGAAAACCAUGGAAGUGUGGUUGUGGUACUGUGCACAAACCUACUAAAUAUCGGUUUUUUAACCUGCAAGCAUUCCAGUGCAGAAACUGUCAUACAAAGCUUGCUCUGGACUUCAAGUUCUGCUUGGGCAAAAUUGAAGUUGAUGGGAAAUCAUUGAUAGGAGAAGUCUAUGAUCAGGACGAAGAGCGAGUUGAGAGGAGUUUGUUAGACCAAUCUGAACUGGAUAUCAGCAAGUGCAAUUAUAUCUUGAUGGUGGCAAGGGGAGGGCAAUGUCGUGCACCGAUAUUGCGCAGACUGCGAGAAGAAGCUAAGAAUUCUGGAUAUAUUCGAGCAGGUAAAUAAGAGCUUGAUUAUUGUGUUAAUUAUUCACUUUAGUUGAAUGUUUUUCCUUUAAAUGUUUUGGAUGAUGGGAUCUUCCAUGACGAUCAAGGGGGUUCCCACAAACCUAUUGUGCUCAGAGUUCUGAUUCUCGGUAGCAGAGUUCAUUGGCAGUGCCACGGACCAUGCCCAGGAUCUCCUUUGUUCUCAUGGUCCAGCUAUGCAAGGCCCGAAGAGGAAGGUAGGGUGAAAAGAAAUGAGUGAAUAAACUUUUGAUCCAUGAUGGACCUUGAUGUUUUAAUGCUGUAUUCAAUACAUUAGUAUGAGAGAUUGUUUUAUCCUGUGUAAUAGGGACAUGUGUGUCUUUUUUUUUUUUUUUGCCGCAUCGACGCGUA